rnacentral:lncRNA from 1 species
UGAAGAAAUAUUAUGCUUAAAAAAAGGAACAAAAAAAACAAAUAAAAAAACAAAAAAAAACAAAAAAACAAAAACAAAAACAAAAACAAAAAAACAAAAAAAAAUAAAAAAAAAACAAAGAAAAGAAAAAGAAAAAUCAAGAUGAAAACCCGAAAUGGUCGUCUUGAUAAACAAAAAGGAUUAGGAUGAAAACCCAAAAGGGCGUCCUAAUAAGGUGGGCUCGGGCUUAAAGGAGCAUUGUGACUUGAACGGGGAGUUGAAU